rnacentral:lncRNA from 1 species
UGGAUUUAUUCCAGGAAUGCAAAGAUGGUUCAACAUGAGAAAAAUCCUGUCAUGUACCAAAAUGUGUUUUAUCUCAUGAACCAACUAAAGGAAAAGACUACUGUGAGUAUAGAUAAAAACAAUUUGAUAACAUUCGAUCCCUAUUUAUGGUUUAAACUUAUAGAAAACUAGAAAUAGAUUGAACCUUUUCUGAACUUGAUCAAAAGCAACUUGUUUAAAGCCUGACAGCAAACAUCAGUGUGUAUUAGAAAACUUUUCCUGGCAUCCCUCAUAAUCAAGAGUUAAGGUGACAGCAUGCAUCUCUGUUGCUCAAAUUUGUCACCAACAAGAGUAGAAUAAGACAAGAAAAAAUAAACUAGGACACUGAACUGAAAAGGGAGGGACUCACCGCAGUUCUAGGAGAACAUGGUUACCUGCAUAGAAACUCAACGGGAUCAGCAGACACAUUAGAAUUGGUAAGAGACUUAGCAGUGCCUGUGGAUACAGGGUCAUUGAUUAAUGUCAAGUGCUGCAUAAUUGAUUAUGCACUUAUUUUCUUGUAGCUGCUGUAGGUCAGGGGUUUAGGAGCAGCAUGGUCCAGUGGGUCUGGCUCAGAGACCCGUGUGAGCUUGAGAUCAAGACGCUGCUGGAGCUGCAUCAUUGGAGGACCUGAUUGGCAGGAGGACCUGCUCCAAGGUGACGCAUCACAGGGCAUCAGCUCCUCUCUGGCACUGGUAGAAGGCCUGAUUUCCUGACGAGGGGGACCUGCUGACUUGGCUCCAUCAGCAUCCCUGUGACAUGUAGCUGGCUGUCCCUGAGCAGGUGACUACGGAGAGAUCAGACAAGAGGACACUGAGGUGACUUUUACAGCCAGUUCUCCAAAGUCACACACGGCCACUCCCACCAUCUCCUG